rnacentral:rRNA from 1 species
AAUAGAUACCCCGGUAGUCCACGCCGUAAACGAUGAGUGCUAAGUGUUAGAGGGUUUCCGCCCUUUAGUGCUGCAGCUAACGCAUUAAGCACUCCGCCUGGGGAGUACGGUCGCAAGACUGAAACUCAAAGGAAUUGACGGGGGCCCGCACAAGCGGUGGAGCAUGUGGUUUAAUUCGAAGCAACGCGAAGAACCUUACCAGGUCUUGACAUCCUCUGACAACUCUAGAGAUAGAGCGUUCCCCUUCGGGGGACAGAGUGACAGGUGGUGCAUGGUUGUCGUCAGCUCGUGUCGUGAGAUGUUGGGUUAAGUCCCGCAACGAGCGCAACCCUUGAUCUUAGUUGCCAGCAUUUAGUUGGGCACUCUAAGGUGACUGCCGGUGACAAACCGGAGGAAGGUGGGGAUGACGUCAAAUCAUCAUGCCCCUUAUGACCUGGGCUACACACGUGCUACAAUGGAUGGUACAAAGGGCUGCAAGACCGCGAGGUGGAGCUAAUCUCAUAAAACCGUUCUCAGUUCGGA